rnacentral:rRNA from 1 species
CACGUAGGGCGCAAGCGUUGUCCGGAAUUAUUGGGCGUAAAGAGCUCGUAGGCGGUCUGUUACGUCUGCUGUGAAAACCCAGGGCUUAACCCUGGGCUUGCAGUGGAUACGGGCAUACUAGAGGCAGGUAGGGGAGAAUGGAAUUCCCGGUGUAGCGGUGAAAUGCGCAGAUAUCGGGAGGAACACCGGUGGCGAAGGCGGUUCUCUGGGCCUGACCUGACGCUGAGGAGCGAAAGCGUGGGGAGCGAACAGG